CCUACGGGGGGCAGCAGUCGAGAAUUUUUCUCAAUGGGCGCAAGCCUGAAGGAGCGACGCCGCGUGGAGGAUGAAGGUCUUCGGAUUGUAAACUCCUGUCAUUUGGGAACAAACCCUCCGGUUAACUGCCGGAAGGCUGAUAGUACCAGAAGAGGAAGGGACGGCUAACUCUGUGCCAGCAGCCGCGGUAAUACAGAGGUCUCAACCGUUGUUCGGAUUCAUUGGGCGUAAAGGGUGCGUAGGCGGUCGCGUAAGUCAGGUGUGAAAUCCCGGGGCUCAACCCUGGAACUGCACUUGAUACUGCGUGGCUAGGAUACUGGAGAGGAGACUGGAAUUUACGGUGUAGCAGUGAAAUGCGUAGAUAUCGUAAGGAAGACCAGUGGCGAAGGCGAGUCUCUGGACAGUUAUCGACGCUGAGGCACGAAGGCUAGGGGAGCAAACGGGAUUAGAUACCCCUGUAGUC
rnacentral:rRNA from 1 species